rnacentral:rRNA from 1 species
GACGAACGCUGGCGGCGUGCUUAACACAUGCAAGUCGAACGGAAAGGCCCUGCUUUUGUGGGGUGCUCGAGUGGCGAACGGGUGAGUAACACGUGAGUAACCUGCCCUUGACUUUGGGAUAACUUCAGGAAACUGGGGCUAAUACCGGAUAGGAUCUCCUGCUGCAUGGUGGGGGUUGGAAAGUUUCGGCGGUUGGGGAUGGACUCGCGGCUUAUCAGCUUGUUGGUGGGGUAGUGGCUUACCAAGGCUUUGACGGGUAGCCGGCCUGAGAGGGUGACCGGCCACAUUGGGACUGAGAUACGGCACAGACUACUACGGGAGGCAGCAGUGGAGAAUAUUGCACAGUGGGCGGAAGCCUGGUGCAGCACAGCCGCGUGCGGGAUGACGGCCUUCGGGUUGUAAACCGCUUUCGCCUGUGACGAGGCGUGAGUGACGGUAAUGGGUAAAGAAGCACCGGCUAACUACGUG